rnacentral:lncRNA from 1 species
UCAUGACCUUUGUGGACAGCCACAUCUUGUGUCAUGACCUUUGUGGACAGCCACAUCUUGUGUCAUGACCUUUCUCAUGAUCAACAGCCACCUCAUGGGUCAUAGCCUGUUGACAUUCAUCUUCUGGUGGCUUGACUUAUUUCUGGAUGCCACCGUUUGUGUCGUGAUAUUGUGUUGAUGGCCUUUUCCUUGUGUCAUGACAUUGUGUUGAUGACCACUUCCUCAUGUCAUGACAUUGUGUUGAUGGCCACUGCCUUGUGUCAUGACAUUGUGUUCAUGGUCACUUCCUUGUGUCAUGACAUUGUGUUGAUGGCCACUUCCUUGUGUCAUGACAUUGUGUUGAUGGUCACUUCCUCAUGUCAUGACAUUGUGUUGAUGGCCACUUCCUUGUGUCAUGACAUUGUGUUGAUGGCCACUUCCUUGUGUCAUGACAUUGUGUUGAUGGUCACUUCCUCAUGUCAUGACAUUGUGUUGAUGGCCACUUCCUUGUGUCAUGACAUUGUGUUGAUGGCCACUUCCUUGUGUCAUGACAUUGUGUUGAUGGCCACUUCCUUGUGUCAUGACACAUGUAGAUAGUAACCUCAUAGUGUCAUCACCUACUUGAGACAAUAUUUAACAUAGUCUGUACAUAUUGAUAUUUAUCAUCAUAAUUAUUUCUUUGUUACAGAAAGCAUUGUUACGCUGUCUUGCUUAGUGUUGUUACCUUGUUUUUGUUUGUUUUCGUUACCAUGGUAACAUCACCAUGAUGUAAAUGACUUAUUCUGUACUCAUAGCAAUAGAAAGUUAAUUAAUUAACGGAAGCUGUGAACCUAAAAUGAAGGAAUAAUGUCCUUAAUCUGCUUCAUUCCAAUGAACUGUGUUUAUGUUUACUGAUUAUUGUAAUGUGUUCCACAGAUUACAGAAUUCAUAUUUUUGUGACAUUCUUCUAUUGAACUUUAAGUGGUCACGGCACAAGAUGAACACAUGCCAGUCAACACGCUUCCACAAAAGCACGGUAUUUUGCUCUAGUCUCUGGCUUGUGUGUAAUAUUUAUGAAACAUAUAACCAAUCAUUUGAUCUUGCCUUGACCUUUACGCUUAUAGGCUAUCAUGUAGGAUCAUCAUAGUCAUGGUAAACCAGUCAAGCUUUACACGUGGUGUACAGGUCUUCACGUUCAGAGUUGGGGCAGUGGGGUAGCCUAGUGGUUAAAGCGUUUGCUCGCCACACCAAAGUCCUGGGUUCGAUUCCCCACAUGGGUACAAUGUGUGAAGCUCAUUUUGGGUGUCCCCACCGUGAUAUUGCUGGAAUAUUGCAAAGGCGGUGAAAAAAUAAACUCACCGUCACGUUCAGAGUUAUGCCUCUUCGGCAUGUAGGAUUCGGUUUCCUGGUGGCCCAGUGGUCAAAGGUGCUACAGUUUGUUGUACAGAGAUGUGUCCCUUUGGCACACCAAAACUUGUGGUUGUAGGUUCAGAUCCAGAUUCUCUGGGAUUGAUUGUAGGUUUGCCAGCACCUAACUCCUGGGUUUCACCGUGCUGGUCAAUGUCUGACACUUGCGUCACUGUCUUCCCACGUUAAGCCAACACACCGUGAUAUAGCUUAUUGUGGGAGAUUUGCUUGUGACAGAGUUACACCGUGUCCUGUUCUGUGAGGUGAUGUCAAUGCAACAACCACAGACUGUGUCGAAACAGGCGGAGGGGUAGCCUAGUGGUUAAAGCACUUGCUUGUCACGCUGAAGACUUGGGUUUGAUUCCUCACAUGGGUACAAUGUGUGAAGCCCAUGUCUGGUGUCCCCCCGCCAUGAUAUUGCUGGAAUAUUGUUAAAAGUGGUGUAAAACUAAACUGAUUCACUGACUCACUCACUCAUAAACAGAGCUAUUACAACAAUCUUAGCUAUAAGACUGUUGUUUGGAACAUGGCGCUGGUUUAUACGUCAUUGUCCCGUCAUUGCCAUAAAAUAACAUUCAUUCACUCAUCCUCACUUCAUCUGGUCAUUCACUUAUAGAUCUCAUUUAGCUAAAAUAUUUUAGUGAACGUCACAUAUCUUCCAACAGCAAUACACUUCUGUGUCACAAAUAUGCGAUUGUAUUUAACUAUUUCCCCUGUGAAUGAUAUCAACAUGGUGUAGCAAUAGUGUUUGUUAUAUAUUCAAGUCCCAAUAAACAUUAGGUUAGUGUGUAAUUAUAAAAUGUAAUGAUGCUCUAACUCUAUGUGUAGUCAUUAAUCUUACACCUGAAAUAACUGACUGGCUCACAGAGUCAACUUUCUUUGUAAUUAAUAUGUUAUGAAAGUAACAAAAGGCCCAAAAGGUGCUUUUUUAUCGAAAAGUUUAAAGCUUGUCAAUGAAAUGGCUACACAGUGAUGUUUGGAUGUUCUUCCAUAAAGGGACCUUGUUUUCACAAUAAUGCUUUAUUCUCAGUAGGGAUGGGAUUGGUCCAGAUUUAAGACCAGGGUACCAGCCCACCCGAUUACCUGCUGUUGGUCUCAAGAGUGUGGGGUGGGGUAGUCUGGUGAGUGACCAAACUCACUCACUCAUUCACGAGUUUGGUAUGAAGUAAUUUAUUGGUGAUUGUUUUACUCAAGCAUACAUAUUUAGGUGGUGAGUAAAAUGAUCUGGUCAUGCUUGCACUGAAAUUAACUUAAGCUUAUCUUUGUCCUAAGAUAGGGAAGAAUGUGGACAUAUCCAGAACUAAAUGUGAACAUUAGCGUCUUGUGUUGUUUUGUUCUUUUAAAAAGUUUAUCCGUUUAGGAAACAAGAGUACCAUCCCAGCCCUACCUCUCAGCUGAUGGUACCAUUUAGGUCCCAAGAAACAAGAGUACCAUCCCAGCCCAACUGCUCAGCUGAUGGUACCCAUGAAGACAAGCAACCUAUGCUUAUCGUAAGAGGCGGCAAACAGAAUCGGAUGGUCUCGCUGACUGCCAAUUGCGCAGAUUGAUGCUCAUGCUGUUGAUCCCUGGAUUGUCUGGUCCAGACUCGAUUAUUUACAGACCGCCGCCAUAUAGCUAUAAUAUUGCUGAGUGCCGAGUAAAACUAAACUCACUCUCACUCACUCUCUCAGCUGAUGUAGUCUGUAGAAAUAUGUUUAUUGCUUUAUGGAUUAGGUAUGUUUUGGUGAAGAGAAUUACCAGUUAUUUGUCCUUUUUACUGUACUUAAUGUUGUGUAUUUACAAGGUUGUAAAAUGUUGGUUCAGUUGAGUCCAGCAGAGUUUUAUAUAUGAUGGUGUCAUGUGUUCAUGUAAUAAUGUUGUCACAGGUGAUGGCGCAAACAAGUAUUGAUUAAUUCAGGCUGCAGGUAUAUUGGUGUUUUAUACGGACUGCCCUAUGUGACGUUAAAAGUAGCGGUUACAUGAUACACCACACAAUAUGAAACAAGUUACAGGGUAAUAUUUGGAACAGAUGUGUAGAUUUCGACCUUUUUAUGGAGACAGUUUCUGCACAAAGAAGCCGUAAUUAUUCAAACCCAAUCCAGUUGAGCACACCUAGACCUGACGUGUUCCGGACGUGUUCAUGUAGUGCAGUACGUGAUAAGGGCUGUGUAUUCUGUAUGGAGCUGGUUUAUUGUGUCGGAACAAGGUACAAGGAUACCAGGGCUUUACAUGAUACAGAGUAGUGCUUCCUGUAUGAGAAAUGUAGAAUAGAAUGAUGUA